rnacentral:rRNA from 1 species
GACGAACGCUGGCGGCGUGCUUAAUACAUGCAAGUCGAACGGAAAGGCGCUGCUUUUGUGGGGUGCUCGAGUGGCGAACGGGUGAGUAACACGUGAGUAACCUGUCCUUGAAUUUGGGAUAAAUUUAGGAAACUGGGGAUAAUACAGGAUAGGAGCUCCUGAUGCGCGGUGGGGGUUGGAAAGUUUCGGCGGUUGGGGAUGGUCUCGCGGCUUAUCAGCUUGUUGGUGGGGUAGUGGCUUACCACGGCUUUGACGGGUAGCCGGCCUGAGAGGGUGACCGGCCACAUGAGGACUGAGAUACGGCCCAGACUCCUACGGGAGGCAGCAGUGGAGAAUAUUGCACAAUGAGCGGAAGCCAGAUGCAGCAACCCCGCGUGCGUGAUAACGUCCUUCGGGUUGUAAACCGCUUUCGCCUGUAACGAAGCGUGAGUGACGGUAAUGAGUAAAGAAGCACCGGCUAACUACGUG